CCUGCAGUCUUGGGUUGGGUUUUUCUGUAAAUGCACUCUGUGAGAGAUACGCAGCCUUCUGGGACCUUGGCUUCCUCUUCCAUGCAAAGAGGGAGGUGACCUUUGAAGGUCUCUUCCGUAUUUAACCUUUUCCGUUUUCUCUGAUCUCGGUGGCAGGGAUUUUCAGCAAAUGCCCUAACCCUCUCUGUAGGGGGCUCACGUUCACCAUUUCCAGGGCAUGACUUCCUCACCUCAUCUAUGUGUGAUCCAUCCUUGACAUUCCUGGGGUGACUGGGUGUGUGAAGGUCUAACUCCACCUCCACCCCACCCCCACUCCAGACCUCUUGGACCAGCCAGCCAUAUUAUCAGGGGACGUAAUUAAUGACAUUUGACCUUGCAUCCCAGUUGGAAAGCAUUCAUGCCUUACCUUCAUCCUUCAUCAAACAGCUCAAGCCAGUUGCUACUAGAGUUGAGGGUCCCUAGGGUGGAGUAGACAUCGUUCUCUUUUUAUGCUUUUAAAUAUUGGUAAGUGCCCUGAACUAGUCUUAGGUCAACUUGACACAAGCUAGAGUCAUCUGAAAGGAGGGAAUUUCUAUUGAGGAAAUGCCUCCAUGAGAUCCAGCUAUAGGGGAUUUCCUUAGUUAGUGAUCAGUGGGGGAGGGCCCAGCCCACUGUGUUCUAACCCUGGGCUGAUGGUCCUGAGUUCUAUAAGAAAGCAAGGUGAGCAAGCCAUGAUGAGCAAGCCAGCAAGCAGCACCCCUCCAUGGCCUCUGCAUCAGCUCCUGCCUCUGGGUUCCUGCCCUGUUUGAGUUCCUGUCCUGACUUUCUUCGAUGAUGAACAGUGAUGUGGAAGGACUAGAGGGUGUAGCCAUGUUAGAGGAAGCAUGUCACUGGGAGUGGCCUUUGAAGAUGAGGAUGUCGCUGCAAGCUCCUUCUCUAGCCCCAUGUCUGCCUGCCAGCUGCCUGCCUGCUCCCACCACGAUGAUGAUGGACUGAACCCCUGAAACUAUUCUUCAGCCAGGAAAAAAUAGCAGCGAAGGAGAGAGAGAGAAAUCCUUCCCUGGUGAGCUGGAUUCCUUGAAGUUGCAGACUAUGAAAAGCGGGAUGCAGUUAUGUGAACUCCCAGCAUCCUGGUCCAUAUGCCUGCCUGCUUGCUGUCUCUUCCGUGCCUUUAUGGGUGCUAACCCUCUGGGACCACAAGACAACAUAACAACAAGACCGUCUUCCUUAAGAUGCCUUGGUCAUGGUGUGUCUUAUCGCAGCGGCAGAAAAGUACUGAAUACAAGGGACAACCCGACUGUGUGUUUGCGCCAAGCGAUCUCGUAGACACGGGCCAGUCUAUGGACUAACUGCCCUUGUGCAUCUAUACCUAUCACUGUCAGAGCACAGAAGAACGAGCCGCGGUGAACAGUGAAUGUCUUGGGGAACUGUGGGAAAGGCUCCAGGAGAAAAGGCAGAGGGCCUUUUAUCUCAGGGGUGUCUUGUUUCCUGGAUUGUUCUUGGACGUGAUUUUGUGCUUCCUGUGUUAAACAUUGACGUUCAAGCCGUAAGGCAUGUUUAUUCUUGUUGGAUGUCUGGACAUAGCUAUAGAACCCAAUCUGGUCAGUGUACCCUGAAUGUGGAUGUGGCCUUCUGCCUUGCUUUUGUGCUUUCCCAGGUAGAGUCUACAGUACUUUCCAGGUAAUUGUGUUUAAACUGGUCUGACCUGAGAAAGUUCUGGGAAAGAGCUGCCCUGUUAAUAGUAUGAGCUUACUGGUGCUAAUUUGCAUAUUUUUCUGAUCACUUUUUUUUUUUUCAAAACUCAAACAGCCUUCCUUGGAUCAUUCCUUUCUUUGUUACAUUGUGUAUAAAAGGACACAGAAACUGAAGUAAGGUUGUCUACAGCAUCACACUCUAGUCCGCCCGUUCUUUCAGGUCUUCAGCGUCAGGUCCAGCAGACAAGAUCUGCACAGGUUGAUGCAAACUGACACAGGAUUACCUCUCUUCUGUUUAUUUUGGUUUUAUUGUUUGAGAUCCAGUCUCCCGUGGUCCAGGCUGGCCUUGAACUAGAUAUACAGCUAAGAUGAUCCUCCUGCCUCCACCUCCCAAGAGCUGGGAUUGCAGGUGUGCGCCUCUAUUCCUGGUUUAUGCAGCACUGGGGCGUCAAUCCAGGACAACAUGCUUGCUAGGCAACAUGCAUGCUAGGCAAGAACUAUACCGACUGAGCUACACCCCAGCCCUCUGUAUCCAUUUUUUUUAAAAAACCAUCUGGAGAAACAAGUUGGGGGAAUAAAUUACAUAGGAAUUUGGAAAUAAAAAGAAUAAAUAUAUGUGCCAGAGCCAUUUUAAUACUGAAGAUUUUUAAAUGUAGCUGACAAUGUUAUUAAAAUGUUACUGUACCGCGAUGGUUGGGGAAAUCAAAAUCUGUUAAGGUUUUUAGAAGAGACUACAGCUUUCUUAUUUUCUUUAAGUAUAUGUAAAUCAAGGGUAGCUGUUGGCCAUGUCAGGCCACGUACUCAAGUAUACAAAAAUGCUGCCCAGCACGUGCCGAAUAGGGCCAAUAUGGAGGGUCUGGGUUGAGGUAUUAAAUAAACUCGUACCAGCCCUUG